UACGGAGGGAGCUAGCGUUGUUCGGAAUUACUGGGCGUAAAGCGCGCGUAGGCGGCUUUGUAAGUUAGAGGUGAAAGCCCGGGGCUCAACCCCGGAACUGCCUUUAAAACUGCAUCGCUUGAAUCCGGGAGAGGUGAGUGGAAUUCCGAAUGUAGAGGUGAAAUUCGUAGAUAUUCGGAAGAACACCAGUGGCGAAGGCGGCUCACUGGACCGGUAUUGACGCUGAGGUGCGAAAGCGUGGGGAGCAAACAGG
rnacentral:rRNA from 1 species